UACAGAGGGUGCAAGCGUUGUUCGGAAUUAUUGGGCGUAAAGCGCGUGUAGGCGGCUUUGCAAGUCGGGUGUGAAAGCCCUCGGCUCAACCGAGGAAGUGCGCCCGAAACUGCAGAGCUUGAGUGCCGGAGAGGAUGGCGGAAUUCCCCAAGUAGAGGUGAAAUUCGUAGAUAUGGGGAGGAACACCGGUGGCGAAGGCGGCCAUCUGGACGGUCGACUGACGCUGAGACGCGAAAGCGUGGGGAGCAAACAGG
rnacentral:rRNA from 1 species